rnacentral:rRNA from 1 species
UACGGGGGGGGCAAGCGUUGUUCGGAAUUACUGGGCGUAAAGGGCUCGUAGGCGGCCAACUAAGUCGGAUGUGAAAUCCCCAGGCUCAACCUGGGAACUGCAUCCGAUACUGGAUGGCUUGAAUCCGGGAGAGGGAUGCAGAAUUCCAGGUGUAGCGGUGAAAUGCGUAGAUAUCUGGAGGAAUACCGGAGGCGAAGGCGGCAUCCUGGACCGGCAUUGACGCUGAGGAGCGAAAGCCAGGGGAGCAAACGGG